GGAUGUUGUGAUGACUGGCAAACUGUUGGCUCUGAAUGGGCCGAAUGAACGUAGCCUUUCUGAACAUCC